CGAAAUGCGAUAAGUAAUGUGAAUUGCAGAAUUCAGUGAAUCAUCGAAUCUUUGAACGCACAUUGCGCCCGCCAGUAUUCUGGCGGGCAUGCCUGUUCGAGCGUCAUUUCAACCAUCAAGCCCCCGGCUUGUGUUGGGGACCUGCGGCUGCCCGCAGGCCAUGAAAAACAGUGGCGGGCUCGCUGUCACACCGAGCGUAGUAGCAUACAUUCUCGCUCAGGGCGUGCUGCGGGUUCCGGCCGUUAAACGACCUUCAUAACCCAAGGUUGACCUCGGAUCAGGUAGGAAGACCCGCUGAACUUAAGC
rnacentral:misc_RNA from 1 species